CCAUGUUGCUUUGUGCCACACACAACACUUAUCAUUUGGGAUUAUUUACGAGUAGAUAACUUUGUGUCACAUUUGCUAACUUAGUUUUGCACGUAAUACAUCACUAAAUCUUAAGAUCCAUAUAUGCUCCGAAUUGAGUAACAUCUGAUCCGUAUACGUUUUCAAGUAGCAUCCGUAACAUCUGAUCCGUAUCCGUUUUCAAGUAGCAUCCGUAACAUCUGAUCCGUAUUCGUUUUCAAGUAGCAUCCGCUCCAUAUAUCCCAUUCGUAUGUGUUACAGCAAAAACAUGACGACAAAAAUGAUACUGUGUCUGUAUCCUCUACAUGCGCGAACUGCUGCAGGUAGGGUGCUCUUAGGCUGAAGACUUGUCGCCGCCAAAGGCAUUCUCCAGAACACCGGUGGCCUCAAGGUGGCUAACAUCUCCACACAUCUUGACAAUGCAGCGGCCAGUGUCACCAGAAACGAGCACGACAGUAACCGACGUGUUGUAUAUUUUACCGCGGAGCGGCACGGGACUGGCGUGCCUGUAGAGCUCUCUGAUGGUUCCACCAUGAGAGACUAGGAUAACACGCUCCCCUGUAAGUAAAUGAGAAAAACAAGAUCAGAAAUGCUCAGGAGGUCAUAGCCAAGUAAGCAGAUCUCAUGCAUAACAGGUACUCCCUCCGUUCCUAAAUACAAGUCUUUUUAGAGAUUCCACUACAAACUACAUACGGAUGUAAUAGACAUAUUUUAGAGUGUAGAUGCACUCAUUUUGCUCCGUAUGUAGUUCAUAGUGGAAUCUCUAAAAAAACUUAUAUUUAGGAACGGAAGGAGUAUUUUUUGUCUUUAAUAUUUCUCUUUAACGGUUAUUUGAAGUUUUAAACAUCAACACAGUAUCUCCUCUACAGCCCACAAGAACCAAAGGAUGCCAAUAAGCCCACCCUUUCUUUGAAUAGCAUUCCUUUUGAUAGGUGGUGAGCAAACUCUCAGGGUUUUCUUUUUCGAGAUUGAAAUAUAUAAUUUAUCCAGAUUGUCAAGUUUACAAAAUAAUAGUCUGAUUUAAUACCAGUUAUAUGUCAACGAAAAAAAAUGAAGCUCAAAGUUUAGUUUUGUUUUGUUUUUGCUUUUUGCAGUAAAAAGUCUGAAGCCCGGAGUUUACCUCUAUGUUUCUCGACUAUUUUAUACAGGCAUGAGACACAUCGCUCGGAUAGUUGAUCAAGACUCUCUCCACCACCCUGAAAGGACAAGCCCCAAAAAAUUCAGAACAAUAAAUCUUUCGAGACAAGCUAAUGCAUGCGGCUGAUACAAGCAUACGGCUGGUUAGAGAAAAGCUGUCUGAGCAUCCUGUAUGAUAAAAAUCGACCUAGAAUACAAAACCGUCUUUCAUUUACAAACCUAUAUGAACCUGUUGUGUGUGUAAGUUCAUAAGAAAUGACAGUUUGAUAUGGCAGAGUUGUUUGUCUGUUAAGUUGCCCUCAGAAACAGCUGCAAGUCUACGGCAGGGUACCAAAAACAGUGACUUGCACUAAUACCUCAAUUCAUUAGGAUUUCAGGAGCACGUCAUAUUAAGUGAACAAUGUUCUUGCCACUGGAAGAUCAAUCCAUGUUCAACAUGUUCAAGCCUACAAAAUGUUGACUACAUGCAGGCCAUUGAAUGGUGCAGUGUCAAUGCAUAUCUACUUGUGACAUCUUUAAGACUACGGUUACACCCAACCAUGUAUUUGCAAUAUUUCUAAGUACAGCAUUCUCCACUGGUCAGUGAACUAAUAUCAACUUUUAGCUCAAAAAAAAUAAAAUCAACUGAUAAAACAUUUUCUCAAAAGUAGAAAAAUGUGAAUGCUUACAGGAAUUUGCUGGUUUCUCUUGUGGGACAUAAAAGCUUUGUAAGCCUCUGGCUUUUCUUUGACAGCAUCUUGAAGCGUCAGGCCCUGCACAUCUCCUAUGUGUCUUUCUCUAAGUGCAGGAUCAAACACAACCUAUAAUGCAAAUUGUUUGCUCAUUAAUAUUAUAUCAAGCAAUUUGUCAAGAUGUGUGGAGAUG
rnacentral:lncRNA from 1 species